UACGUAGGGUGCGAGCGUUAAUCGGAAUUACUGGGCGUAAAGCGUGCGCAGGCGGUUUUGUAAGCCCGAUGUGAAAGCCCCGGGCUCAACCUGGGAAUGGCAUUUGGGACUGCAAGGCUGGAGUUUGGCAGAGGAGACUGGAAUUCCUGGUGUAGCAGUGAAAUGCGUAGAUAUCGGGAGGAAUACCGAUGGCGAAGGCAGGUCUCUGGGCUAUAACUGACGCUCAUGCACGAAAGCGUGGGGAGCAAACAGG
rnacentral:rRNA from 1 species